GCCGGGUGUGGUGGCUCCCACCUGUAAUCCCAGCACUUUGGGAGGCCGAGGUGGGCGGAUCAUUUGAGGUCAGGAGUUCUGGAUCAGCCUGGCCAACAGGCUCUACUAAAAAUACAAAAAUUAGCUGGGCAUGGUGGCACGUGCCUGUAGUCCCAGCUACUCUGGAGGCUGAGGCAUAAGAAUCACCUGAACCCAGGAGGUGGAGGUUGCAGUAAGCCGACAUGACACCACUGUACUCCAGCCUAGGCAACAGAGUGAGACUCCAUCUCA
rnacentral:sRNA from 1 species